rnacentral:misc_RNA from 1 species
AAGUCGUAACAAGGUUUCCGUAGGUGAACCUGCGGAAGGAUCAUUAACACGUAUCCAACGUUAAACCCCCCUGUGAACUAUUGCCGUGCUCUCGUAGACCUUGAUGAACAGCAAUCCCUGGUAAAUCAUUGACGAACAGCGUUUGAUUGAGGGAAUGUUGCGCUAGGAUCAGAGGCUUGGCUCUCCCCAAGCAGUUCGUGGGUGCAAGUGCCACUUUCUGUGCAAGGAACACGCUUUACGGUCACUGGAGGUCGAUCACCGACCGGUGGACAAGUCUCAGGGCCAAAAGCCCCCUAAUCACCCCACAGUUUCUUACGAGCUAGCGAUUAAAUCCGCUGGUAAAAAAACCCCCGAACAACUGUUAACAAUGGAUAUCUUGGUUCUC